ensembl:lncRNA
GGUUUGCCGUCUGUAGACUCCACCCUCCCGACGGGAAUAAAAGCCAGGCGUUCUUCAACAGGGUGUACACACUUUCAAUGAAGACCAGAGUGGAUACUGCAAGGAAUCAAAGUGAAAUAUCGCUCCUUCACUAAAAGGAAAUUGGAUCUACAAGAAAAUGGGUGGAGAUGUAUCAAAAGAGAGAGCGGAUCAUGCUGAAAGAGACCUUCAGAAAACCAUAAAGGAAAAAGAAAGAAUUGAGGAAGAAAAGAGAAAGCGUGAAGAAGACUACAAGAAACUCCUUGCUGAGAAAGUCAAACUUGAAACAACACAGAAGAUGGAGGAACAACGACGGGAGCAAGAGAAGCAGAGACAAAAAAAUUCUUGAACACGACAGAGAACAAGAGAAAGCCGAAAGGAUAAGGAUUCAUCAAGAAAAGAAUAAUGCCAAGUCCUAAACCUGUAGGAUGAAGAGACAUUGGUUUAAAUGUUUGAUUAUCAACAAAAAGAUUUGAUGGAUACAGUACACAGUUAUUCUAAAAUUAAUAUUAACAAAUGUACUAGCUGUUUUAUUUUUCAAAAAGAAAUGUUGCAUUGUUUCAAUAACAAAAAAGAAAAACUGGUUUUAUAACCCUGUUUUUUGUUUACCAACCAAAUGUAGUCUGAUAGUGUCAUGUUUGUUUUUUGCCAUGAGUACUGUACUGUAGCCUACUCUCCAGCAUUGCAAUAAAUAUCUUCUAUUGAUGUUCAAUCUUAUCUCUGAUUCUACCUUUCACUUUGGAAUGUACUUAGAUUUAGUUUUUACAUGCAACUGUCUAAAUCAGAGGUGUCAAACUGGUUCCAUGGAGGGCCAAGUGUCUGAAGGUUUUCACUCUCACCGUGCACUUGCUUGAUUAAUUAUGUCACUAAUUGGUUAAGUUCUACCUUCUCCUGGUUGUUUAGGUCUGAACUGGGAACCAAUUUAUAGGAAAAACCAAAAGCUGCAGACACUUGACCCUCUGUGGAAUCGGUUUGACAUCCCUGAUCUAAAUGCUUGGAUGUAAUACAAGGUUAUUUUCUAUCAACUGAGGAGUGUCUGUUUUUUUUUUUAGAACAAAUCAGAUGGACAAAUACUAAUGAGAACUGAAUUAAUCAUAGGCUACUAUAACAUGCAUUUCUGAUUCUGACAUUAGUAUUGGGAUGCAAUUGAUAUGCUAGUGGCUUGGUAAGAAUAAAAAUGACCAAUAUGAUUUUGAAGGAAAUUAACAUAUUUUGCUCACUGAAAGUUAGACGGUAUUCAACUUUGUUGUAUUAUCCCUUACCUAUCUAAAUACAGUACUGUAAGUAGUUAGUGUAGGGUAUAAUGUGUCAGAAUGGUGAUUCAUGGCCCUGGGGGGCGGGACUUCCAUAUUGAUGUGACAGGUGGGCGG